CCUACGGGAGGCUGCAGUGAGGAAUAUUGGUCAAUGGGCGGAAGCCUGAACCAGCCAAGUAGCGUGCAGGAUGACGGCCCUACGGGUUGUAAACUGCUUUUAUACGGGAAUAACGUGCCUUACGUGUAGGGCUUUGCAUGUACCGUAUGAAUAAGGACCGGCUAAUUCCGUGCCAGCAGCCGCGGUAAUACGGAAGGUCCGGGCGUUAUCCGGAUUUAUUGGGUUUAAAGGGAGCGUAGGCCGCAUGUCAAGCGUGCUGCGAAAUGUCCGGGCUCAACCCGGGCCUUGCGGCGCGAACUGGCGUGCUUGAGUGCGCGGAACGCAGGCGGAAUGCGUGGUGUAGCGGUGAAAUGCUUAGAUAUGACGAAGAACCCCGAUUGCGAAGGCAGCUUGCGGCAGCGGGAAUGACGCUGAUGCUCGAAAGCGCGGGUAUCGAACAGGAUUAGAUACCCUUGUAGUC
rnacentral:rRNA from 1 species